rnacentral:lncRNA from 1 species
UCUCAUCAUGGCUCUAAAAUCAUUAUCCUAAGCUAUGGGAUUCAUUAUAGUCUAAAACAAGUAUAAGAUGCAGUAUAUAAUGAAUCAAAGAUGUCUAACAUUAUUAAUAAAUAAUAUUAAAUAUAUGAGUUUGAAAGAUAAAAUAUAGAAAAAUAUCUCAUCGUAUCACAUAUGUGAUUGGCUUGUAGGGCAUUAUUCUUUCAGUACUCCCAAAG